rnacentral:rRNA from 1 species
UCGUAGUUGAAUUUGUGUCUUGCGCUGUCGGUUCAUCGCUGUUUGCGGUGUUUAACUGGCACGUUGUGAGACGUCUUGCCGGAAGGGCAUGGUAUAUGUUUUAUUUGUGUCUUCAUAAUAUGCACUAUAAUGAUUGAUUUUAUAUAGUUAAUAGCUAUAUUAAUUGAUUGUUAUUUGUUGUUUUAUUAUGUAUGGCCUGAUAAUAACGUAUACGUAGUCCGACUUUUUAAAAUCCUGUCUAGGUGCUCUUAACUGAGUGUCGUGGCGGGCCGGCACGUUUACUUUGAACAAAUUAGAGUGCUUAAAGCAGGCUUAUGUUGCCUGAAUAUAGUGUGCAUGGAAUAAUGAAACAGGACCUCGGUUCUAUUUUGUUGGUUUUCUGAACUGAACGAGGUAAUGAUUAAUAGGGACAGAUGGGGGCAUUCGUAUUGCGACGUUAGAGGUGAAAUUCUUGGAUCG